CAGUAGCCACGGUAAUACAGAGGGUGCGAGCGUUAAUCGGAUUUACUGGGCGUAAAGCGUGCGUAGGCGGCUUCUUAAGUCGGAUGUGAAAUCCCUGAGCUUAACUUAGGAAUUGCAUUCGAUACUGGGAAGCUAGAGUAUGGGAGAGGAUGGUAGAAUUCCAGGUGUAGCGGUGAAAUGCGUAGAGAUCUGGAGGAAUACCGAUGGCGAAGGCAGCCAUCUGGCCUAAUACUGACGCUGAGGUACGAAAGCAUGGGGAGCAAACAGGAUUAGAUACCCCGCGUAGUCCUGUCUCUUAUAC
rnacentral:rRNA from 1 species